CCCUUAGAUGUUCUGGGCCGCACGCGCGCUACACUGAUGCAUUCAACGAGUCUAAAACCUGGUCUGAUAGGGCUGGGUAAUCUUUUGAAUGUGCAUCGUGAUUGGGAUAGAUGAUUGCAAUUCUUCAUCUUCAACGAGGAAUGCCUAGUAAACGCAAGUCAUCAGCUUGCAUUGAUUACGUCCCUGCCCCUUGUACACACCGCCCGUCGCUCCUACCGAUUGAAUGUUCCGAUGAAUACCAUGGACUGAGAGUAUGAAUGGGUUCGCCUAUUUCUGCUUCUCGGGAAGUGGAGUAAAUCUUAACAUUUAGAGGAAGGAGAAGUCGUAACA
rnacentral:rRNA from 1 species